GCUCCCCCCACCCUCCUCCUCCUCCUCCUCCUCAGCAGCCGCCGCCGGUGCCACCGCCUCCCUCCUUCCCGCCCCGCCCCACCACUGCGCAGGCGCGGCGGCUGGCCCCGCCUCUGCGCAGCCGCAGCCCCGGCCGGCCGCGCCCUCUUCACGCACGCGCAGUGCGCCUGCGCCCCGACCGAGUACCGGGCGAGCGCGGCCGCCGCGGCCCAGAGGAGCGAGCCGUUCCACGCUGGCCCGACGGAAGGGAGGCGGCGGCGGCCGGCUGCGGAGCUGCGUCCUAGAGGUGUUACAGGCAAGUCCUUGAACAGCACAUGGAGUGAGUGGCUGGUGCAAGCCUUGAACUGUUUUUCCAGAAGCUAGCGUGGUCAUGUCAGAUGAGCUCAAGUCUGGAAUCAGAAGGUACCGGCUGAGGAGUGGUGCUGUGGUAUGUGUACUUGAUGGAACUUCUGGGUCUGGGCAAGUUAAUGCCAUCCCUUUGACCAGCAGUUUUAAGAAACAGACGGAAGGGCCGGAGAGAUACUUCAGCAGUUAGGAGCACCGGCUGUUCUUCCAGAGGACCCUAACUAAAUCCUCAGCACCCACGUGGUGGCUCACAGCCGUCUGUAACUCCAGUCUCUAGAUCUGUCAUCUUCCAGCCUUGGCAGGCACUGCAGACACAUGGUAUAUAGACACAUUCAGACUAACAUUCAUACACAAAAAAUAACCUCAAAAAAAAAAAGUUUAAAUAAAGCAGAUGGAAAGAAAGACAUUUUAGGCCGGGCAGUGGUGGUGCACGCCUUUAAUCCCAGCACUUAGGAGGCAGAGGCAGGUGGACCUCUGUGAGUUCGAGGCCAGCCUGGUCUACAGAGUGAGAUCCAGGACAGCCAGGGCUACACAGAGAAACCCUGUCACCAAAAAAAAAAAAAAAAGCAAAACAAAAAAAAAACCAAAAAGAAAGUCUUAGGUUAGACUUGAGAUAAGCACCCGGUGUCUCCCCAGCCUGUGAGGCAGUGGAUCACAUCUGCAUAUCUGCUCCCAGGUCAGGAGGGUUGCCGUUUCGAAGUCCACCCCUGCAAUGCUUUUGGACAAGCCACAUAGCCCUGUCUCAGAGCCUGUUUCCUCACAGAAUAUUGUAGAUGGGAGGCUGUGUGGCCACCGAUGCUAAUCGGUCAUGCUGCAGGGACUUCAUCCUAGAACUGUUUGCUAUUCUAGACUUUAAGAAUUUCCUAGGCAGCAGCCUGAUGACGUGGCUGCUGGACACGCCAGGGAUGUAAAGCAGAAUUGGCCAUGGGAGAUGAGAUUCCCAGUUUUGCCCCAGGUGUCAUCUAGAACCCAAUAGGUGUUAAUCCCUCCAUUUAUUCUGGAACUAUUGAAUGGUUUCUUCCUAUUUAUAUACCCCAUGUUGUAAAGGAUAUUAAACUUUUUUCCCUCCAAAAAUUUGCAGACUCAGCAGAGCUCAGAUACAUUCAUGAGGAAUUAAAAAUGAAUGAUAGAGUACAGAAGACACAACAGCUGUCAGAUUUCUCCACCUAGACGUCAGAAGAGACAAACCGUCACUGUUAGAGUGACGGGAAAGAUCCCAGCAUAAAGAUUCAUGGUGGCACCAGAACAGAGGUGGGCUUUGAAUGUCAGCUGUACUUAGACAGCAGCUGUCUGAACCUGUGAGAAUCAUCAGUUUUGGCUUGGGGAGGGAAUUCCCUGAGGAUAUACCCUUGGAACCCCAAAAUGAGUCUCCCAGCACAUUCUCUGAAAACACUGCCUCACCUUCACUCAGCUUCAUCAGUAAGAGCUCUCAUCUCUAAGCACGUGUGCUGUGUUGUAUGUAAACCUCCAACCUGAUCAGGACCGCCUGCGGCUGGAAACCUCAUCUCAGGAGUCCUGAGCUGUGGCUAGAGGAGGCCUGCAGCUGCUUCUACCUUAGGAGCUGCAAGAGAGGACAGGAGUCUCCCAGCAGAGCAGCACCAUGAGCUACACCGCAGACUCACGGUGGCGGCAGCCAGAUAGAGCUGCCGGGCUGGAAGUGUAUGAUGAACAGGAGGGGCAGAUACCAACAAAUCAACACAGCAAACAGUGACAGCCAGACAAAGCUGCUUUUAAAACAUCACCUCACCUGGAUUCAUGCAACAAAUUCAGUCGAUUGCGAUGGAUUCAUUCAUUAAUUCAAUAAAUAUGGGUGUGCUUGCUAGAUGCACCCAGAAGCAAAACACCACCCACAUCUUCAUGGUGGGGGAAGCAAGUCAGUAAUUCAACCAUCAAUGGGGGCUGGAGAGACGCCAAGGCAGUUGCUCUUGCAGAGGACCAGGUUUCGUCCCCAGUACCCACACAGCAGCUAACAAUGUCUCUAACUCCAGUCCAGGAGAACAGUCGCCCUCUACAGGCACCAGGCACAAAGACAUACACUCGUGCAUAUUUUCUAAAAAAUAAAAAUAUUUCUUCUUAAUUUUUAAGUUAAAAAACACAAUUAUUGGGGGCCUACUUUAUGCCUGGCACUGGUCUAGCCGCCAGAGAUUUAGCAGUAAGCAAAAUUCAAAAACCUACUUGCACACUGUUUGGGAGAAUGGGCUGUGGGUCAGAAGAGAGAAGCAUAGAGGAGAAGGGGCUGGGGGCCAAGGAAGCUCAGGGUGGCAGGCCUUGUUCAAGUUUGGCAGUGAGCAGAAAGCAGGUGGUAAGCAGAGGGCAGAGGAUGACAGUGCAUUCCAGGGCGAAGAGCUGCUGAGCGAUGGUCAGGAGGACUGGGAAGGAGGGUGGCUCCUCGAAGUCAGCAGUGCUCUCCGGGUCAGGAGAGGCCUGGAUGGAGCUGUGAUAUCCGGGUACGUCCGAGGGCCAUAGGCUGUGUUCGUGUAAGAAAGAGGAAGUGACCAUGAAAACCACGCCAGGCUUUCUGUGGUACUGCAGAUAGAUCCAGGGCUUCCUGCACACUAGGCAAACGCUCGACCAACUGAGCUACGUCACCUGGCUGUGCUGUUUCCUCCUAGUUACUAUUACUGUUGUUAUUUUAUGUUUUCAAGAGAGGGUUUCUCUGUGGGGCUCUGGCUGUCCUGGAUCCCAUACUCUACCACCGCCUGGCUAACUCUUUUCUAACGAAGAUUUUUGUUGUGGUUUCUAGAACGCAAGCGUCUACAGGUAAGAUACAUUCUUUGGAAUGGAUUGUUUGAUAUGGAGUCUUUGAUAAUUUUGAAGUGUAAAUGGGUCCUGAGGCCAAGCUGUUUGAGAAAGGAUGUGACAGAUGUCGCCAUGCCCCAGCCGCCCACCUCCCUUUGGGGUGGGAAUCUUAAGUGGUAGGAAGGAUCGAGUGUAGCUCUCUCAGGGGAGUAAGGCACUGUUCAGAGACUUCCACACAUUGGUUGUUCUGUUACCAUCUCGAGAGAAGCCACACUAGACAGGGUAUGGGGACUCGGUCUGGCACACUCAAUUAGGUCUCAGAAUCCUCCUGACACACUCCUUGAACCAGCACUUUCUUCCUAGGCUUGAACAUGGUAGACUCCCUCCCCACCUGAAGGCAGGGGAGCCCCCCUAACAGGACUCAGAAGCACCCAGGGAAGCACACAGUUCUCUUCCGCAAGGCGGAACCUAGUCAUUCCAGAGCCACACACAAACCCUGGCGCUUCUUCUGUUCAAAUCACUUUCCAGAUUAUUUUUGUUGGAUGGCACUGGGGCUUGGUGACUAGAAAAUCAAGAAAUACAGCCCCCCCCCCAAAUUCUGCCAACAGAACCUUAGAGACCUCCUUCCCAAGGGCACCUCAGCUCUACUCUUCCUAAAUAAGGAGUGCUGUGCUAUAUGGGGAGUGACUGGCGGCCAAUCCCUUCCUGCCAUGUACUGGCAAAAGAAAUCAUCACCAUUACAAUCAUGUCUUCCAAAUAAAUCUUAACAGCUUUUCAAACUAUGGGGUCCAGAAACUGAAGGCACAUUAAAAAGGCCUUAUGCUCACCUGUGUCCCACCUGGCACCAUGACUGGCUGUCGUAGUGUUGUUCUAUUGCUGUGAAGAGGCACCAUGACCACAGAACUCAUAAAAAACAAAAGAACAUUUAAUUGGAACUUGCUUACAGUUUCAGAGGCUUAGUCCAUUGUCAUGGCAAGGGAGCAUGGUGGCACAUAGGCAGACAUGGUGCUGGAGAAGUUGGAGAAGUAGCUAAAAGUUCUACAUCCAGAUCUGCAGGCAGCAGAAGAGAGACACUAGGUAAUGGAAUUUUCCCAAGGGAAAAUCCCUCCCAGGGUCCUGGGGAAGACGCUACAUCUGGCGUAGGGUUAUCUGAGGGAAAGGAAUCUAUAUACACCAUCCUCUUUCCUCUAAGACAAAACUCUAUCUAUGCAGCUUCAGCUCCGUCCUCACAUACAGCCAGCUCCUCUCUGUACCUACUGGGCCUGCCUGCCAUAGUCCUAACUAAGCUCCUAUGCUUUCGAUCUCAUCUUCAUCCUCUGUUCCUUCAUCCUCCAUCUUUCCUUCCUUGCUCCUUACCCCUGGCUCUGAGAAACUCUGCUCCUUCUCUUCUCCCUGGCCACACAGCUCUGCCUGGGCCAGGAGUUCCACUCCAGUCUUUACUACACCUGGUUCUGCAAAAAGCCCUAUUGUCCUGAGUAAAUAGCUCUGGUUGUACUAGGCCUGAAGGCAAGGGAUGGUCUGAGCUUCAUCUGCACAAGAAACAAAGCUAUGCAUCUACAGCCUGCCUGUCUCCUAGGCUCUGCAGGGGUGUUAGUUACCUAAUGGAUCAGCAGUAAGUCUGAGAAGCUUAAUUGUUUGCCAAUGGCCUAGUAGUAUAUGGGCACACAAGAAUUUCAUAGCAGAAGGCAGCUGAUACAUAUUAAAAGCUAAAUAACACCAAAUAUUCCUUGAUAAAUGGCUUCCUCUAGAAACAUUCCUUGAUUUUUCUAGGUAUAGCUUUGAUAUACAGCUGAAUCUCUAUAAUAUGUUCUUGUGGCCCACUCCCAGUGACACACCUCCUCCAAGGUCACAACUCCUAAGCCUUCUCAAGUAGUGCCUCUCCCUGGUGACCAAGCAUCCAAAUCUAUGAGCCUAUGGGGCUAUUUUUAUUCAAACCAGCACACUGGCCCUUUCCCUGAGUCUCUCACACUGUCCACAUGAGAAGAACCUGUGUGCCCAGCUUUGUGCAGAGCACACCAUGUUAUCACUCACUGUGGACCACCUGUGGUGGCUGUACACCACAUCUGUUAGAGAGCUGGAUGUCGGGCAGCACAGGGAGGGUUGGAAGCCGAUUGCAAAGCCCCUGGGUCUCCGACGCACCCAACUGUAGAGCAUUUCCUUCAGCGUCAGAACUAGUUAUAGUUGUAGUUAGGAUGUAGCACCAAUUCUAUUAGAGCACAAACAAAAUAUUACAUUAGAACGUGUUACAACUAGUCCUUUUAGACUGGGCCUGGGCCUGGGGGGCAGCUUGGCCUAGCCCCAUGUCAUACCUCCAGCACGGCAAAAAGCUAAAGCCUGGGGAUUUGAAAACUGUCGGUAAAGUGCCUGCCACCCAAGCACAAGCUCCCCUAGGUGUGGCAGCCUAUGGCUACAUUCCCUGUGCUGGGAAACUGGAGGCAGGAGGAUCCCUGGUGCCCAGCUGGAUCAAAGAACUCCAGCUUCAAUGACAGGACCCUGUCUCAAAAAAAUAAGAUGGAGAACAAUCUAGGAAGGCACUGUGUGUGGCUUCCAUACAUGUGCACAUAUGCACACACACCUGUACCUGCAUAUAGACACACGCCUAUACAUACUCCACAACAAAAGUAAAAUCCUUCUUUUCCCUUAUUUUUUUUUAAGAUGGAAUCUUACAGUUCAGAUGAGCUUGAAUUUACAGCACUUCUGCCCUAGGCCCCUGAGUUUGGGGAUACUACUAUAAUAUAUACUAUAUUACAACUUGUUGCUGUUUUAGAAAAACUUGAAGCAACUUGAACAGCCUCAUGGAACUAUACUUAAAGCAUUCCUGGCUGGGUGUGCUGGUGCACCCCUUGAAUUCCAGCUCUCGGGAGGCAGAGGCAGGCAGACAUUUGAGUUUGAGGCCAGCCUGGUCUACAAAGCAAGUUCAGGACAGAGAGGCCCUACUUUAAAAAACAAAACACACAGGGUGGCGGUGGUGGCAGCACAGGCCUUUAAUCUCAGCACUUAGGAGGCAAAGACAGGCAGAUCUCCGAGUUUGAGGCCAGCCUGGUCUACCGAACAAGUUCCAGGACACACACAGCAAGUUCAGUUACACAGAGAAACCCUGUCUUGAAGCACCCCCCCCCCCAAAAAAAACCCAAAACAAA